UUAAUCAUAUACUAUUAUUUCCCACAGUUUUCCUCCGUUAAGUUUUUGUAAACGUUUGUGCCUCUCAAUUAAUUUUCUUCGCUAAACAGUUCUUCAUCUUUCCACAGACCUUUUCAAACCUUGAUAAAGAAUUGUUCUUAACCCUAAUUCAUAAAUUGACAAAUUUUGGUGCGAUUAAAUAAGAAAGGAGGAGGAAACACAGUAUAACCCUUCUAAUCUUAACAAUGGAAUGGCGAAGAAAGCUUCUCAGGCCUUCAGCAAGUUGGAGUUUAUUGUGCGAUGACUGAAAAUUCCAAACUCUUCAAGCUUCUUCCCUAAACCUUUUUUUGCAGAUGAGGACGUCAUGGACUUAAAAAAUCCCAGGAAGAAGGUAAACAGGUAGGUAAACCUGAUUCGUAGGAGCUUUAUCAGCGGAGUUUCAGAAAGGCUCCAGUUGUUUCGGAGCUCCAGCUUAUUGAAGUAAGACUGUGCAACUCUUGCAGAUGAAUUGAUGAGAGAAGGAUCCACGAUUGAUGUUUGUGGUUCACAAAUUAUUAGAGAAAAUUACUGAGUUUGAAGACAAAUUGCAGGUGCACGAGAAUGUAGAGAAUCCCAAAGGACUGAUCCACAAGUUGUUAUCAGGAGAAUUGUCCAGGACAUAUCCUUUAGAGGAUCCAUGAAGAAGAGUGUAGGGAAGAAGCUUGAAGAGAUGAACUUUUACCCCUACCUGUUGGUUCAUUAGUCAUUGUUGAUCUGCUAUAUUAGUUUUAUUCUGUUUCAGUUGUUGCUGUAUAUGUGAUGUACAAUUAAGACUUUGGUAAUAAAACUCCCUUUUAUUUGACCAAAAAAAUAGUCGUGUUUUU